UUAGCCGGCCAUAGUGAUAGGGCGCGACCCGGUCCCGUUCCGAACCCGGAAGUCAAACCUGUCGUCGCUGCUGAAUACUUACCUGCGUGAGCGGUUGGGAAACGGCAGUGCUGGCGUUU
rnacentral:rRNA from 1 species